rnacentral:rRNA from 1 species
UGGCAUAUCAAAAGCGGAGGAAAAGAAACUAACAAGGAUUCCCCUAGUAACUGCGAGUGAAGCGGGAAAAGCUCAAAUUUAAAAUCUGGCGGUCUUUGGCCGUCCGAGUUGUAGUCUGGAGAAGUGCUUUCCGCGCUGGACCGUGUAUAAGUCUCUUGGAACAGAGCGUCAUAGAGGGUGAGAAUCCCGUCUUUGACACGGACUACCAGUGCUUUGUGAUGCGCUCUCAAAGAGUCGCGUUGUUUGGGAAUGCAGCGCAAAAUGGGUGGUGAAUUCCAUCUAAAGCUAAAUAUUGGCGAGAGACCGAUAGCGAACAAGUACCGUGAGGGAAAGAUGAAAAGCACUUUGGAAAGAGAGUUAAACAGUACGUGAAAUUGCUGAAAGGGAAACGCUUGAAGUCAGUCGCGUUGUCCGGGACUCAGCCUUGCUUCGGCUUGGUGCACUUUCCGGAUGACGGGCCAGCAUCGAUUUUGACCGCUGGAAAAGGGCUGGAGGAAUGUGGCACCUUCGGGUGUGUUAUAGCCUCCAGUCGCAUACGGCGGUUGGGAUCGAGGAACGCAGCACGCCUUACGGCGGGGGUUCGCCCACCUUCGUGCUUAGGAUGCUGGCAUAAUGGCUUUAAACGACCCGUCUUGAAACACGGACCA